UACGAGGGGGGCGAGCGUUGUUCGGAAUUAUUGGGCGUAAAGGGCGCGUAGGCGGUGCGGUAAGUCACCUGUGAAAUCUCUGGGCUCAACUCAGAGUCUGCAGGCGAAACUGCCGUGCUGGAGUAUGGGAGAGGUGCGUGGAAUUUCCGGUGUAGCGGUGAAAUGCGUAGAUAUCGGAAGGAACACCAGUGGCGAAAGCGACUUCCUGGUCCAAUACUGACGUUCAUGUGCGAAAGCGUGGGGAGCAAACAGG
rnacentral:rRNA from 1 species